CUCAUGGCCCUUACGGGCUGGGCUACACACGUGCUACAAUGGUGGUGACAGUGGGCAGCGAGCACGCGAGUGUGAGCUAAUCUCCAAAAGCCAUCUCAGUUCGGAUUGCACUCUGCAACUCGAGUGCAUGAAGUUGGAAUCGCUAGUAAUCGCGGAUCAGCAUGCCGCGGUGAAUACGUUCCCGGGCCUUGUACACACCGCCCGUCACACCAUGGGAGUUGGUUUUACCCGAAGGCGCUGUGCUAACCGCAAGGAGGCAGGCGACCACGGUAGGGUCAGCGACUGGGGUGAAGUCGUAACAAGGUAGCCGUAGGGGAACCUGCGGCUGGAUCACCUCCUUUCUAAGGAAGAUCGAGAAUUGGAAAGA
rnacentral:rRNA from 1 species